CAGUCGCCACGGUAAUACGAAGGGUGCAAGCGUUACUCGGAAUUACUGGGCGUAAAGCGUGCGUAGGUGGUUGUUUAAGUCUGCUGUGAAAGCCCUGGGCUCAACCUGGGAAUUGCAGUGGAUACUGGGCGACUAGAGUAAGGUAGAGGAUAGUGGAAUUUCCGGUGUAGCAGUGAAAUGCGUAGAGAUCGGAAGGAACAUCUGUGGCGAAGGCGACUAUCUGGGCCAUUACUGACACUGAGGCACGAAAGCGUGGGGAGCAAACAGGAUUAGAUACCCGUGUAGUCCCUGUCUCUUAUAC
rnacentral:rRNA from 1 species